GAUGAUGUGACUCCCCUUUCCUGCAUGGGCCCUACGUACACAAGGGAUUGUGACAUAUUGCUGGGCCAAGCACCAAGGUGAUCUGGCUCUUGACUAGGUUCUUCCUAAAGUGGGCUUUGUGACAUAUUACUAAACCUAGCAUAAAGGUGAUAUGGCUUUCCUGCGUGGGUCCUGCCCAUGGAGGGAUAUUGAUAUUUCCCCAGCCCAGCAUUCAGCCAAUAGAUGAAAAAAGAUUCAAGGAAGACACAUUUGCUUUUUAUUCACUCAUCACUUCCCAUCACUAUGCUGACCAGAGUCAAUGUGAGCAGAGUUGAGAAUAGCAGUUUUCUGGCAGGAGAGCCACUUCUCAGCAAAAAAUGACACACUCAAAGUAUAAAUCUUUCAUGGAAGGCUCACAUAUUUUCAGCAAAUUAAGCAUAUGCAUGAAUAAAAUUCUUGUGGUGAAAUAAAGAUUCAUUUUAUUGAUUCCUAUUGAGCUCAGGUAAUAUUGGAUGAAAAGCAAAAAAAUUAUUUGAAAUAGAAAUAUUGUGAAUAAAGUUAUUG
rnacentral:lncRNA from 1 species